AAUGAACGCUGGCGGCGUGCUUAACACAUGCAAGUCGCACGAGAACGCUUCAGCUUGCUGAAGUAAGUAAAGUGGCGCACGGGUGAGUAACGCGUGGGUAAUCUUCCCCCGAAUUGGGGAUAACCCGCCGAAAGGCGGGCUAAUACCGAAUGACAUCUUGAAGACGUAUGUUUUUAAGAUCAAAGAUGGCCUCUACAUGUAAGCUAUUGUUUGGGGAUGAGCCCGCGUACCAUUAGCUUGUUGGUAGGGUAAUGGCCUACCAAGGCUACGAUGGUUAGCUGGUCUGAGAGGAUGAUCAGCCACACUGGAACUGACACACGGUCCAGACUCCUACGGGAGGCAGCAGUGAGGAAUUUUGCGCAAUGGGGGAAACCCUGACGCAGCAACGCCGCGUGAGUGAUGAAGGCUUUCGGGUCGUAAAGCUCUGU
rnacentral:rRNA from 1 species